GGAUCAGGUAGGGAUACCCGCUGAACUUAAGCAUAU
rnacentral:rRNA from 1 species